rnacentral:tRNA from 1 species
AGAGAUUUAGGUUAAUAGUUUAGACCCAGAGCCUUCAAAGCCCUAAGCGAAAGUGAAAGUCUUUCAACCUCUG